ACUGCUUUGGGCUUUUCCUAGCGGACGGCACUGACUAAUCAACAACUGAACGGCAACAACAGAGCCAGUUUCGAGAAAUUUGGUGACAUGCUUUCUCGUAUUCUUUCCUUUUGUGCCACCUGGAUUAAAACAUGACACCAACAAGUGCGAGCAGAUCACCCUGGAAUUUGGAAUUACACACCCAUCCGGAGGAAGCUGACUCGGAACUGGCUUCAUAGUCUAAACAAUGAAUCCAGUUUCCUGGCACAAGAUUUCUUACGAUGCAAAGAAAAACGUACAAAACAGGGUCGACCACCUGACCACUGCCCAAUACUGAGUAGCCAGCCAUUCAUGAUGCCGAAGACUGGACAGUGACAUAUUCAUCCCAUUAAAAACUGUCAAACAGC